rnacentral:rRNA from 1 species
CCUACGGGAGGCAGCAGUGGGGAAUAUUGGACAAUGGGCGCAAGCCUGAUCCAGCCAUACCGCGUGUGUGAAGAAGGCCUUCGGGUUGUAAAGCACUUUAAGCAGGGAGAAAAAGUUAUAAGUUAAUACCUUAUAACCCUGAUGUUACCUGCAGAAUAAGCACCGGCUAAUUCCGUGCCAGCAGCCGCGGUAAUACGGAAGGUGCAAGCGUUAAUCGGAAUUACUGGGCGUAAAGCGCGCGUAGGUGGUUUGUUAAGUUGGAUGUGAAAGCCCUGGGCUCAACCUAGGAACUGCAUCCAAAACUAACUCACUAGAGUACGAUAGAGGGAGGUAGAAUUCAUAGUGUAGCGGUGGAAUGCGUAGAUAUUAUGAAGAAUACCAGUGGCGAAGGCGGCCUCCUGGAUCUGUACUGACACUGAGGUGCGAAAGCGUGGGUAGCGAACAGGAUUAGAUACCCUGGUAGUCCACGCCGUAAACGAUGACAACUAGCUGUUGGGAGGCAAUGCCUUUCAGUGGCGCAGCUAACGUUUUAAGUUGUCCGCCUGGGGAGUACGGCCGCAAGGCUAAAACUCAAAUGAAUUGACGGGGGCCCGCACAAGUGGUGGAGCAUGUGGUUUAAUUCGAUGCAACGCGAAGAACCUUACCAAUCCUUGAAAUCUAGCGAAGUUCGCAGAGAUGUGAAUGUGCCUUCGGGAACGCUAUGACAGGUGUUGCAUGGCUGUCGUCAGCUCGUGUCGUGAGAUGUAUGGUUAAGUCCAGUAACGAGCGCAACCCCUAUCCUUAUUUGCCAGCGCGUAAUGGCGGGAACUAUAGGGAGACUGCCGGGUGAAACCCGGAGGAAGGCGGGGACGAGGUCAAGUCAUCAUGGCCCUUAUGGAUUGGGCUACACACGUGCUACAAUGGGAAGUACAGAGGGAUGCGAAAGCGCGAGCUGGAGCCAAACCCUUAAAACUUUUCUUAGUCCGGAUUGGAGUCUGCAACUCGACUCCAUGAAGUUGGAAUCACUAGUAAUCGCGAAUCAGAAUGUCGCGGUGAAUACGUUCUCGGGCCUUGUACACACCGCCCGUCACAUCAUGGAAGUGGGUUGCACCAGAAGUGGUUAGUCUAACCUUCGGGAAGACGAUCACCACGGUGUGAUUCAUGACUGGGAUGAAGUCGUAACAAGGUAGCCG